CCUACGGGAGGCUGCAGUGGGGAAUAUUGCACAAUGGGCGCAAGCCUGAUGCAGCCAUGCCGCGUGUGUGAAGAAGGCCUUCGGGUUGUAAAGCACUUUCGGCGGGGAGGAAGGCGGUGAGGUUAAUAACCUCAUCGAUUGACGUUACCCGCAGAAGAAGCACCGGCUAACUCCGUGCCAGCAGCCGCGGUAAUACGGAGGGUGCAAGCGUUAAUCGGAAUUACUGGGCGUAAAGCGCACGCAGGCGGUCUGUCAAGUCGGAUGUGAAAUCCCCGGGCUCAACCUGGGAACUGCAUUCGAAACUGGCAGGCUAGAGUCUUGUAGAGGGGGGUAGAAUUCCAGGUGUAGCGGUGAAUGCGUAGAGAUCUGGAGGAAUACCGGUGGCGAAGGCGGCCCCCUGGACAAAGACUGACGCUCAGGUGCGAAAGCGUGGGGAGCAAACAGGAUUAGAUACCCGAGUAGUC
rnacentral:rRNA from 1 species